CUCUAGUUUCUGUGGAUGGUUCUUCUUCCGAGGUUUCACCCACUGCUCCUGAUUUUCUUCAUAGCCCAGAUCAAGUAACUUCCCUAGAUAGUACUUGAUUUUCUCAUCACAUUCAGAAGUUUGUGAAGAUGUUCUAGGAUUAAUGGGUGCCUCAUUGAGAAUUUUGCGGACUGAUUCUUUAAUAUCUUCCUUCUCCUUUUCUCUUUGUGCUUUCUUCUCUUCGCCUUUCUUAUGCUCAGUAUUGAUUCUUUCCUCCUCUUCAUCAUCACUGCUUUCGAUCUCAAUUGUUUCCUCCUUUGGCUUCCUUUUUCCUCCUGUUGUAACAACUUUGCACUCAUCUUUUGGGUUAACAUCAGUAUUAGCCCGAAAUUGAUGUUUU
rnacentral:lncRNA from 1 species